rnacentral:sRNA from 1 species
UGUUUGGUACAUCAUUAUCUUAUUUUCUAAGGCAUGGAUUGAGCAAUUAGAUGGCAUCCCUUCUGAAGGGAAAAAUUAUCUUUCUAUCUGUCACAGACCUGAUGUUAAGUGAAGGCUUAAUUUACAAAACUGAAGAAUUUCAGUGCAUUGUUGUCGAUUCCUUCUCAGAUUGUGCCCUACAUUUGAGGGUGCCAAGCAAGGAAUGUACCUACUGUUCACCAACACCCUGAACUCAGUCUGCUGAGUACAGAAUGGGAGGUGAUUUUAGAGCAGCUGUAUCUUUCCCAUGUGAACAAUGCGGUCUCAGAGGGGACAGCUAAAGGAGAAGUGGGCAGCCAUCAUCUGAGAUCAGGGAGACUCUCUGUGCCUGGGAAGCCAUCACACUGAGUCCUCAGGGCAGGCCGUAAUUUUGGAUUAGUCAUAAAUCCAAUAUUAGUUUAAAGGACAUACAAUCUAUGUGAGGAUAUAGAGACAUCACUGUGGACGUGACAAAUGCUACCUCAGGACAGUUGGCUGUACCUAAGUUACUUAUGUGGGAAAAUUUUAAAGUAGUUUUCUAGUGUGGAGAAUACCAACACUCCUUGCUUGCCUCUUUGCUGUGGUGUAAGUCUUGUGUCAUUACCAACAGCAUAUGUAUUUGAGAAGCCCCAUGCCAGCUUAUUGGGCACCAAUCUUCCCUCACCCUGGCCUGGUGCUUAUGGUCAAACUUCACGCUCAAAUCUAAAAGAGCCUAUCUCUUCCCACAGGUGAAUGCUGUCAGGGGACUCUACCAUUUCUUUCAGAUUAUCUCUUCUUUUACAAAUACAGGCCAAGAGGAAAUAAAAGUGGCUGGGGUCCUAAGGGUAUGGACAUCAGUCCCUCCUCCCAUGCCCACAAAGAUCACAGAAUCACCAUCAGGAAUCUGCUCUUGGGAGAACAUAUUGGAAAUCAAAGGUCAGAGAAAGUGUCAGUGGACACCAGGGAAACUGGUCAUUUUGUACCCAAUAGGAAGCCUUUCAACCUGAAAAUGCAAGGGCUUAUCCAUCUCCUGGAAAUCACGAGGGGGAAUGUAUCCUGGCUUCUGAAUUAGCUAGAAAGUUUCUAUGCUCUUUGAGGUUUCAGCCUGUGGUUUCAAGGCUGAAAUAAGGUCAAAAGUCAUAUUUGUGUGGGUAGUGUCUGAGGUCUGAGCUUGCUUCAGGUACAUUUCUUACAUACUCCAAAAUGUGCAUCAGGUUACUAAUCCACUUCCUGCUUGUUUCUCAUGAUCAGUACUUUUUGCAAAACCCCGUCUCAUCUGCUGCUUUAAGAGCAAACUUCAAUCCUACCCAGAGACUUUGAACAGAUGUUCAUUUUACUACAGAAGUGUUUGAGCUCUCUGACUUUAUGCAGUUAAAGAAAGUUUACUGGAAGACCUAUUACAUGUAAAGUAUGACGUUGAAGACCCAGACAAAUAUGAUAAAGAAAAGAGGGUUGGAAAUCUGAAAAAGGCAUACAGUAGAGUCAAGUGUACAUCUGGGAGUAAGAAGUAAAGGGAGACGACCGGCAAUUCCCAGGACACAAUCUUCUGCAUUCAAAACUCCACAAUCCCGCUCUACAACAGGCUCCCAGUUAUACUCCACCUACCAACUCCACUGAGCAGGUAUUGUGUUCUGGGUUACCCAGCACUUUUCUUAGAUGAACUCGUCCAUUUAUGUUUCAACAUCCAUGUCUAUGACAGUGACUUAGAACUGCCUGUGGAUGUACGAGAGCAGAUAGGAUAUUUCUGCCUUGAAUAUUGGUGGACAUUUUAAGCUCAUUCAGUUAAAAACAAGUCUGCCAUCCACUAACCCAAUUCCAAAGGAGCAAAACAAUACCAUCUGGCCAUGUCAUGUUCUUCAUUACUGCCCUUGCUAUUCCGUUGGUGGUAUAGGGUACCUGACAGGAGAGCAGUUAAAGCCCUGCAUGUGGUUUUAAUAUAUAGCUAUGGGAAUAAUUACUAGCUGAGAACCUAGGAGAAAAAUAAUGAUGAUUCUGUGACUUUAUUAAGGAUCCUUAGUUCUCCAGGAAAAAUUUCACUUCAUUAAUCUUUUUCCUAAUGCUUUUCCUGGGUAUAGAAGCCAAACUUCUGUCCUGGGCUUUGAUUCUGUCUUUGUUGCCUAUGUAUGAGCUUCUAAGGAACAUGAGAGUGACCAGAAAUGUGAUGCAUCAUCAGUGAGCUGGGUACUUGUUAGGAAAAAAUAUUCUGGUAUUAGUACUG